GACGAACGCUGGCGGCGUGCUUAACACAUGCAAGUCGAACGGAAAGGCCCUGCUUUUGUGGGGUGCUCGAGUGGCGAACGGGUGAGUAACACGUGAGUAACCUGCCCUUGACUUUGGGAUAACUUCAGGAAACUGGGGCUAAUACCGGAUAGGAGCUCCUGCUGCAUGGUGGGGGGUGGAAAGUUUCGGCGGUUGGGGAUGGACUCGCGGCUUAUCAGCUUGUUGGUGGGGGAGUGGCUUACCAAGGCUUUGACGGGUAGCCGGCCUGAGAGGGUGACCGGCCACAUUGGGCCUGCGAUACGGCCCAGACUCCAACGGGAGGCAGCAGUGGGAAAUAUUGCACAAUGGGCGGAAGCCUGAUGCAGCAACGCCGCGUGCGGGAUGACGGCCUUCGGGUUGUAAACCGCUUUCGCCUGUGACGAAGCGUGAGUGACGGUAAUGGGUAAAGAAGCACCGGCUAACUACGUG
rnacentral:rRNA from 1 species